GCCGCGGCGGGGCGGAGGGCUACUGGACGGAGGUUACGGCGGAGCGGUGGGCGUAAUGAAGGAGAAAAGGGAGGAAAAAGGAUCAGAUUUUUAAUCUGUUUUGUUUGAUUUCAGAUUGGAACUCCGUGGUGUUGUGAAACAAAACUGGCCCCACUUUGGCAGGAGAAACGCGUAACUAUCAUUUUGUUGCUGAUCAGGUGAGUUCCCAUAUAUACUACGAAAUAUCACUGAGUAAUAUCAUGGAACUCCCCCACCAAGUGAUGUUGUCGUUGAGGGUUCUCCUUCACCCAAACCAACUCUUCCCACAUCAAGGCCUAGUGGAAGUAAAGGUAUUAGCAGAAUCAGUGUAGUGUUAGGGCUCAGUGUCACUGUGGCCCCGCCCAUAUGGUAUAAAGAUAUCAUAAACUUAAAAUUCACACUAUUUUGGAGUCUUAAUGUCGCAGAAUGUUUAUAAUUAAUGAAUUUCAAAUGGUUGUCCCAUAUUUUUCUAUUGUUUGUGUAAUUUUUAGGAUCUCACAAUCCACGAUCCUAUCAUUUUGGCACCUUCAUUCGUUCCUAAUUAGGAUGCCAAUCCUAACAACCUUUCUAUUUCCAGUGAAAAAUCUUUAGUAAAAAGCCAGGAGGUGCCGGACAAUGUGUUUUUUCUUUUCUUGGUUAGCUUGCUGGACAAUGUUAAGAAGAGAAAAUUGGUCUACUCCAAAGACAGAAAAAAACAGAGAAAAUGUUUUAUGUCAGAGUUCAGGAAUUCAGACAGCGUUUCUAUGUUUGAACAUCAUUUGCUUGUUUUAAUGUCAACAGGUAUCUAAUUUUGCAAAACUAUGUUAAAACUUUACAAAUUGGCCUCAGUUUGUUAAAUUUGUAGGAUCUUAUGUUCAUCUAUCCAUUCCUCGAAGACCUCACAAUCAUCCUGCCUAGGACCCCGAUCUGCGAAUGCUGUUUUGAAAUGCUGCAAUUAUCAGAAUAACUGAAAUGAAGUUAAUGUUAAGAUUAUGCUUUAGAGAAUAUAGAAAUAUUUAUUAUGAGGUGUGCUAUCGGUGCACUUGUAUCCAAAUUUUGGAAACUCGCCUUGAGAACUGUUGUUUGUGAUUUGGAAACUUUGAAAAGUCAGAUACUAUGACAAGUGCCCAUGUUUGGCACCCAUAUUGGAGUGGUUGUUCUUUGUAAUAAAAAUGUGGUGUUUGAAUGAUAGUUAUUGGGAAAUUUUGCAAGCGGUCUGGUUUAGAGGGUUAAUAAUGAUAAGAUAAUUCUUAUGGAUUUGAUGAGAUGAGGUAGGGUAUUUAAGAUACCUUAGAUUCCUUGUCCUAUGAUAAAAUUUCUGAAAUGCAGUUGACUAAAUAUAGUCCCUGAAUGAUGGCCAUUCAUCAAGGACUGGGAAUCCACUGACCUGGAUAGAUCUUCAUCUGUCAUCUCGCUCAUAUUUGCUUGAGAUAGAAGAAUAGGAGGAAGAAAACCUAGGCACCCCAUAUGCAAAGCAACAAGCUCUUCUAUGUCAGGAGUGCGAAAAGAACCCAUCAAACUACCACUGCCUUGCAUGUUCUUUCUGCUCAGGAAGUGAAGAGGGUCACUGAAUCUACCCACAGAGCAAGAGCUAAAUUAAGUGUGUCUUUAUCUUAAGUUGCCUUUUCACCUCCAAACCUUUGGCGUGCAGAGGAGAAUAAACCUCUUGUUCCUUCCAAGUGGACUGUCAAAAGGGGGCAGAAAUCAGUCUCGAUAUGAGGAAAGGUGCAACAUCAGAAUCUUGACUUUAGAGUGGAUUACAUAUUCGAUCCUGUCAAUUUUGUAAAGAUAAGAUACUUUAGGUAUAGCAAAGUCUUGCGAUGGGGUCUAUGUAUGCUUCUUAUUCUUCUU